rnacentral:rRNA from 1 species
UACGUAGGGGGCAAGCGUUGUCCGGAAUCAUUGGGCGUAAGGAGCGUGUAGGCGGCCAGAAAAGUCCGCUGUGAAAACUCGAGGCUCAACUUCGAGCUGUCGGUGGAAACUUUCUGGCUAGAGUCCGGAAGAGGAGAAUGGAAUUCCUGGUGUAGCGGUGAAAUGCGCAGAUAUCAGGAAGAACACCCGUGGCGAAGGCGGUUCUCUGGGACGGUACUGACGCUGAGACGCGAAAGCGUGGGGAGCGAACAGG